rnacentral:rRNA from 1 species
ACAACUUUCAACAACGGAUCUCUUGGCUCUCGCAUCGAUGAAGAACGCAGCGAAAUGCGAUAACUAAUGUGAAUUGCAGAAUUCAGUGAAUCAUCGAGUCUUUGAACGCACCUUGCGCCUUUUGGUAUUCCGAAGGGCAUGCCUGUUUGAGUGUCAGUAA